GGGGAGGUGGCUCAGUGGUAGAGCGCUUGCCUCCCAUGAAUGAGGCCCUGGGUUCGAUUCCUCAGCUCCA
rnacentral:tRNA from 1 species